rnacentral:rRNA from 1 species
GAUGAACGCUGGCGGCGUGCCUAAUACAUGCAAGUCGAGCGAACAGACGAGGAGCUUGCUCCUCUGACGUUAGCGGCGGGCGGGUGAGUAACACGUGGAUAACCUACCUAUAAGACUGGGAUAACUUCGGGAAACCGGAGCUAAUACCGGAUAAUAUAUUGAACCGCAUGGUUCAAUAGUGAAAGACGGUUUUGCUGUCACUUAUAGAUGGAUCCGCGCCGCAUUAGCUAGUUGGUAAGGUAACGGCUUACCAAGGCAACGAUGCGUAGCCGACCUGAGAGGGUGAUCGGCCACACUGGAACUGAGACACGGUCCAGACUCCUACGGGAGGCAGCAGUAGGGAAUCUUCCGCAAUGGGCGAAAGCCUGACGGAACAACGCCGCGUGAGUGAUGAAGGUCUUCGGAUCGUAAAACUCUGUUAUUAGGGAAGAACAAAUGUGUAAGUAACUAUGCACGUCUUGACGGUACCUAAUCAGAAAGCCACGGCUAACUACGUG